AGCAGCCGCGGUAAUUCCAGCUCCAAUAGCGUAUAUUAAAGUUGCUGCAGUUAAAAAGCUCGUAGUUGAAUUUCGGGAUCGAUAUAUCGGUCGUGCCUCGGUACGUACUGGUAUUUUCGGUUUCUCCCUUCUGACGAACCUUGAUGUCAUUAAUUUGGUGUCUUGGGGAAUCAGGACUGUUACUUUGAAAAAAUUUAGAGUGUUUAAAGCAGGCUCACGCUUGAAUACAUUAGCAUGGAAUAAUGAAAUAGGACGUUUGAUUCUAUUUUGUUGGUUUCUAGGAUCGACGUAAUGAUUAAUAGGGAUAGUUGGGGGCAUUAGUAUUCAAUUGUCAGAGGUGAAAUUCUUGGAUUUAUUGAAGACUAACUACUGCGAAAGCAUUUGCCAAGGAUGUUUUCAUUAAUCAAGAACGAAAGUUAGGGGAUCGAAGACGAUCAGAUACCGUCGUAGUCUUAAUCAUAAACUAUGCCGACUAGGGAUCGGAUGAUGUUAAUUUUUUAAUGACUCAUUCGGCGCCUUA
rnacentral:rRNA from 1 species